rnacentral:rRNA from 1 species
GACGAACGCUGGCGGCGUGCUUAACACAUGCAAGUCGAACGCUGAAGCUCAGCUUUUGUUGGGUGGAUGAGUGGCGAACGGGUGAGUAACACGUGAGUAACCUGCCCCCUUCUUUGGGAUAACGCCCGGAAACGGGUGCUAAUACUGGAUAUUCACUGGUCUUCGCCUGGGGGUUGGUGGAAAGGGUUUUUCUGGUGGGGGAUGGGCUCGCGGCCUAUCGGCUUGUUGGUGGGGUGAUGGCCUACCAAGGCUUUGACGGGUAGCCGGCCUGAGAGGGUGACCGGUCACAUUGGGACGGAGAUGCGGCCCAGACUCCGACGGGGGGCAGAAGUGGGGAAUAUUGGACAAUGGGCGCAAGCCUGAUGCAGCGAGGCCGCGUGAGGGAUGGAGGCCGUCGGGUUGUGAAACUCUUUCGCUCAUGGUCAAGCCGCAACAAUGGUUGUGGUGAGGGUAGUGGGUAAAGAAGCGCCGGCUAACUACGUG